UACGUAGGGUGCGAGCGUUGUCCGGAAUUAUUGGGCGUAAAGGGCUCGUAGGCGGUUUGUCGCGUCGGGAGUGAAAACCUUGGGCUUAACUCAGGGCUUGCUUUCGAUACGGGCAGACUAGAGGUAUGCAGGGGAGAACGGAAUUCCUGGUGUAGCGGUGAAAUGCGUAGAGAUCGGCAGGAACACCCAGGGGGAAACCAGUCGACUGGGCAUCUACUGACGCUGAGGUGCGAGAGCGUGGGGAGCGAACCGG
rnacentral:rRNA from 1 species